rnacentral:rRNA from 1 species
CUGAACCAGCCAAGUAGCGUGAAGGAUGUAUGCCUAUGGGUUGUAAACUUCUUUUAUACGGGAAUAAAGUGGAGUAUGCAUACUCCUUUGUAUGUACCGUAUGAAUAAGGAUCGGCUAACUCCGUGCCAGCAGCCGCGGUAAUACGGAGGAUCCGAGCGUUAUCCGGAUUUAUUGGGUUUAAAGGGAGCGUAGGCGGGUGCUUAAGUCAGUUGUGAAAGUUUGCGG